rnacentral:rRNA from 1 species
AUUGAACGCUGGCGGCAGGCUUAACACAUGCAAGUCGAGCGAGCGGCGGACGGGUGAGUAAUGUCUGGGAAAAUGCCUGAUGGAGGGGGAUAACUACUGGAAACGGUAGCUAAUACAGCAUACCAUCAGAUGUGCCCAGAUGGGAUUAGCUAGUAGGUGGGGUAAUGGCUCACCUAGGCGACGCUCCCUAGCUGGUCUGAGCGGAUGACCAGCCACCCUGGAACUGUGACACGGUCCAGACUCCUACGGGAGGCAGCGGAGGGGAGUAUGGCACAAUUGGCGCAAGGCUGAUGCAGCCAUGCCGAGUGUGGGGAGGAGGCCUUCGGGUUGUAAAGCACUUUCAGCGAGGAGGCGUUACUCGCAGAAGAAGCACCGGCUAACUCCGUGCCAGCAGCCGCGGUAAUUC